GGAUCAUUUCUUGAAGCCCUGCUUCUUUUUGACUAAAACAUGAAAGCACGCAGCAGGAGGGGACCGUCUCAGUGACCACGUCGACUAGAAUCCACCUGACACCUGAGCUAGGCCAUUUGCUGCUGUUCCCACCUUCUCCCUCUGGGAGUCUUGAGUGCAACACCCACUUGUCCAGGCUGCACAGAAAGAAGAGAAUGGAGAGCCCCGGCCAGGGAGGACCACGUUUCUGCCUGCACUGGGCGGGAUACCACAAUCCUUAAGGGGAGACAUCGUGGACCCUGAACUGGACCAGCUCCCACCUUGCAGAGAGACUCCAGGUCCCCCAAGAUUCGGCACAUGCCUGCAGAGGUGGGGCUGCUGUCAGCUUCCUUGGAGAGCAUCUGUCGGGCUUCGUCCAGCCGGCCCUGCAGCACCAAGAUGGUCACCUGGAGGGACACCCAAGAAUAUGAGCAUCCAUGGGAGGCCCAGAAGCCAUCCCCUCAGCCUAGCUUUGGCUUCUUAGCUUUGGGAAAGCAUGAUGAUUUCUUCCCUCCAGAGGUGCUGUCACCAUCACUUGUGAACAAGUGCGCAGCAAAAUCAUCUGAGUCACCUGACAAGCACAUCUGCAGGUGAACAAACA